rnacentral:rRNA from 1 species
GUGCCAGCCGCCGCGGUAAUACGAGUGCCCCGAGCGUUAUCCGGAAUCAUUGGGCGUAAAGGGUGUGUAGGUGGCAGUGUUAGUCAGUUGUUAAAACCUGGGGCUCAACCCCAGACUCGCGACUGAAACGGCACAGCUAGAGGAUGGCAGGGAUGUAUGGAACUCAUGGAGUAGGGGUGAAAUCCGUUGAUAUCAUGGGGAACACCAAAAGCGAAGGCAGUACAUUGGGCCACUCCUGACACUGAAACACGAAAGCGUGGGUAGCGAAUGGGAUUAGAAACCCUCGUAGUCC